UUGCUCAAUUCAGCAUUUCCCAAUAACUGAGUAAACAGCAUUGACAGUGGUGGUGACAGGCAGCUCCUGUGGUGAGCUGCAACUUGGCAUAUAGAUUUCCUGCAACAUUGGAGGUCAGAAGUUUGGAUUAUCAAUUGACAACCCCACACAUGAUCAGCCGAAAACCUGGUCUAAAGGAGAGCUCCACUGUCAGGAGAGCUCGGACUCAGAGCGUUCAAUCAGACAGCUGUGGGGAGCUUGGAAGUGUUAGAGGCCAAUGUCUUGCCUGAUGGGCACCUAAAGCUGACGGAUUUAGUUUGACAGUUCUCACUUUGGAUAUAUUUUCGUGGAUUUUACUUGCAACAAUGGAUCGCUUGGAUUUAUCUCGGAUUAAGAACCUUUCUCUCAGCAUGCCCUCGAUGAAGAAUUUAAAAUUGAUGUCGUGGAUUACUCGAGAGGGAACUGAGGAGGAAGCGAUGUCGUCUCCGCGGGACCUCCAGGAUUUCCUGGCGGAAGCGCAGUUGGAGCAUUACCUCAGUGGGCUCCGCAAUGAGCUGAAGAUCACGUGCGUGGACCACCUGAAAUAUGUGAAGGAGGAAGACCUGGAGGCCAUCGGCAUGGCCAAGCCAGAGAUGAGGAGGCUGAAGAAGUUCUACAAGAAGGAAUGUCCACAAGGAACCUUUGGAAAACUCAAGAAGGCAAUAAUGAGGGGGUCCGAUGGACCUGGCCGCUCCCUCAGCCCCUCCCCUCCAGAACACAGAAUCUCCCGCCCUACCUCGGUGAUACGCCCCCCAGGGAAACAGAUCAUACCCCAGGAGUCAAUAGCAGUCAACAAAACCCUUGGGGAGGGGGAGUUCGGGGUCGUGCAGCAGGGUGUGUGGACCACAGAGGACGGAGAUAAGGUGCAAGUUGCUAUCAAGUGUUUGAGCAAAGACAGACUUCAAAAUGGAACUCAGGAAUUUUUAAAAGAAGCCUCUGUUCAACAGAGUAUAGACAAUGAAAACAUUGUUCGACUUUACGGGGUUGUUAUCAACAAAGACAACGCAUUGAUGUUGGUGACAGAGCUAGCACCGAUGAGGUCCCUGUUGGAGUGUUUGAAGGAGACAUCAUUAAGAUUAGACUUUCCUAUUCCCCGAUUGUGUGAUUUUGCUCAACAAAUUUGUGAUGGAAUGUCUUAUCUUGAGUCUAAGCGAUUAAUACACAGAGACCUGGCUGCAAGGAAUAUCCUAGUGUUCAGUAAGAAUAAGGUUAAAAUAAGUGACUUUGGGCUGUCACGUGCACUGGGUGUGGGGAAGGAUUACUAUCAGAGCAAUUUUAGUAUAAAUCUCAAGUUGCCAAUAGCAUGGUGUGCUCCGGAGUGUAUCAACUACCUGAAGUUCACCUCGUACAGUGACGUGUGGGCGUACGCCGUCACGCUGUGGGAGCUGUUCACGUACGGCUUCCAGCCCUGGGCUGGCAUGAGUGGACAACAGGACCCCGCUAAGGCUAUACUGGAGGCCAUCGACAUGCCCAACAACCAGCGUCUGGAGAAGCCGGACCUGUGUCCAGUGGAGUACUACCAUCUCAUGAUGAAGUGUUGGGAGCACGAACCCGAGGAGAGGCCGACGUUCAGUCAGAUCUUCCUCAAGCUACCACAGAUCCGGCCGGUCCAGGUGAAGGCAGUCAAGGACUACCCGCAGGUCACCCUAGAGAAGGACCAUCUCUAUUACAAGUCUUAUGAUGUCAUUAUCACAAUUGAUAAGAAACCUUCUAAUGCCCCCAGCAUUGGGUUGUGGAAAGGGGCUCUCAACAACGGCAAAAGUGGUUACUUUGAUCCAACAAAUACAGUCCCCUUCAUUGAACCCAAGACAAGCCCCAUCUCUCUACCCAAGACAAAUCUCACACGGAAGGAAUCCAGCAGGAAGUCCAGCCGCAAGCUGAGAGUAGACAUGAUCAGUGGACCCCAGAACGACCUCAGACACACGGGUCAUAUUGGCUACGACGGCGCCGUGUUUGGGGAUGUCGGCUUCAUUGGGGAGGCCUACGACAAACUGCCUGCAAGAGGCAAAGCAGGUGAUGAGAGUGUGCGAUCAUCUAUGACCUCCAUUGAUCACCGGGAUAGUCCUGACAGAGAAGGGUACAGAGGAACCAAUGGCUAUGGACAUUCUUGGAUGAGCUCGGAGUCCCUGGACAGUCAUCAUGGUGAAGACAGACAGUAUCAGGAUAUUGAUGAUGACGGAAUUCUGGCCGACUUCAAGAUUCCCGAUCUCACGAGCUCCUUGGACCUGGGCCCGUCGUUCAUGGAUGAAGUGCUUCGGGCUCUGGAUGAGAAGGAGAAGAAACUGGAAGGAAGUUCCACAGAGCCAUCGCCUAGCAACGGAGGUAGCAAACUGGAUGAUCUGACGCUAACCGACUUCGACCGAAGUCGAUCUGUAUCACCAGGAGGCGACGGCAGACCUCCUCCCUUGCCUACAUCACCACCUCGUGUGGAACCUCGGCGCUCCGAUAGUCGUUCGGAACCUAAAAAACAAGCCAAGGUGAAACCAAUGUCGGCUUCGGAUGAAAAAAUGAUGGAAUCAGCCAUUGCACUUGCAAACGAAUUUGCUUCUCAGAAUCAGAUGAGAGACAGCCAGAGUCCACCAACAUCCCCGACAACUAAGACAGAAAAGAAACGCACAGAAUCCGAGAGUAGUAGUGACUCUCCAAAUCUCAUGUCAAAGUUGAAAAAGAUUUCAAUUAAGCGUAGCCCUAAACAAGAACGCAAAAGGACGUUUUCUGAUGACAUGAACAAUAAGAGUGACUUAGAUGGAGAACUGCCCCCUGAGGCUCAGGAGGCCUACAACAUGUUGGUAGUUCGUGGAUCAUGCAAAGAUAAUGAUGAAAGCUCAGAAAAUAGUCGACAGUCGUCUGAGAGAGCAUCGCCAGCAAGUGAUGCAGUGUUUUCUAAUUCCUCCGAGAUCCACUUAAGUCAACCUAAGCCUUCUCCAAUUGCAUCAUCUGUUAACUUCCGACCCCCUCUUCCAGCGACAGAACCCAGACCCCCUCCUCCUAAACCUACCCCAAGACCACGAAUUGAUCCGAAAAAGUCUGAAAUCCCUGUUCCUCGACCUCGACCUGAGGUUGUGCAGAGAGUAGAACCAACACAAAUAAAUCGAGUGGAGCCCACGCCCAGGAUUGGGCUCUCCAUGUCUGUUGAUGUCCCUGAUACAAAGACUGAAACGAAGGCAGAAAGCAGUCUUUCUCUUUCUGUUCAGAGGCAACAAAGUUUACCCGAAUCAAAAAGUCGGGAGAGGGAGGAACUGAAAAAAACAAUUGAAAUCGUACGUGUAGAUUCCCCGCGGAGGGAGGAGAAAGUUGAGGUUAGUGCAAGUAGUUCAGAGGACUUGGCAUCUAAAUCAGACAGUGAUAGAGAACCACCAAAGUCUUUCUUUGAUGAGGAUUUCAGUGAACCAUCUCCACGGGAAAUUAUGUCCAAGUUGCGCGAAAAGCGAGUGACAAGGUCACUGGAUCACCAGCGAGGUGUGUCAGGAGAUGGUGAACCGGCCCCGACACGGAGUCUGCGGGAACCUCAAGGUAUUCCUGGGAAAGGACCUUCAGCACCAAGCACGCCAGCAGAAGAGGAAGAAGUGGAUACAAAUCCGUUACGCAUGCUUAGAGGAGGUGCGAUACCAAUUCGCACAGGACGUGGUGCUCCAGGAAAAGAAUAGUUCGUAGGACAGAAAGAUAUACUUACUUCACACAGGGAGAAGAAUUGCGAAGAGAUAGAGAUGCUGCAGAGGAUAUUUUCAACAGAGGUGAGUGUGGCUGAGUGUAUGAAGGCGUUAGAACUGACCAAGUGGGACAUGCAGAAAACCAUCAAGUACAUCAAGAUGAAGCAG
rnacentral:misc_RNA from 1 species